ACAGAUUAUAUAAUUUCAUAUUAAGGACAUAAAACAAUGCAGAGGACUCUCUCCCCAUACGAACUUUACUGUUCCCAGAAUGGAGCCCCUCUGGGCUCUUUUCUCUGGACUCUCUUCCCAGAUGCAGAGUGCUGCUCUCUAAGCCUUGGGAACAGAGAAACUUUGUUCAGUUCCUGCUGUCAACAUUGGGGCCACUUCCUCUGCGUAAUAUCCUUCAUUAGGACAAUCCUCUUUUAAAAGUGUUUUCUAUUUUGGUCUUUGAUUCUAACAAAUUAUACCUGACAUAGAUGGAACAGAUAUAUUCCCUGACUUUCAGAUUAUCAAACUGAGGUUCAGAAGGACUUGGUGACUGCCCCCAAAGUUCAACAGCUCUUAUGUACUAAAUCAUGGACAAGUAACUCCUGAUCCCUGCCUCAAAGGCUCAGUAUUCUUUCACUUAAAAAAAAAACAAACCAUAGGAAACCUGCAGGCAGCAGCAUCGCCUAUGAUUCAAAGGCAAAAUAAUGAAAUCUGUGAGGAUCAAUGUCGGGGCUCUCCCUUCCCAGGGAGGCUCCUGAAAUCCUUUCCCGGCAUCAUGUACUCUGAGGACUGGCCAUCUCAUCAACGACCUGCCCCCAUUCUCCUUUAGGUGCUCUGCCUCCCAGCAAUUCCAUGGCCUUGGAAGCUACCUUACCUCGAUUUGGGGUUGUCUGACUCUCAUCCCCCAAGACAUCUUCUUCUCCUCCAUAGUGACUCCUCAGAGACAUGACCUCAGGUGUAUGACUGCAAGCAAACAUCACUGACUAGGACAAGGACAAUCCCCUGAAAUACUUUAAAAUGAAGGACAAAGGGGUGAACAGGAGCUAUGAAACCUGACCACAGGAAUAUGGAAUUCCAUGAUGUGAAAAAUAAUGAGUGAAUGAAUUUACUGCAAGGAGCUGCAAUGACUCUUCUUACUGACUUCAUCAGCUAACAAAUACAAAACCAAUACUCAGUUGAUACAAAUUGCACUGAUCCAACAACCGAUGAAAUGUUGGCAAAAAGUUCAAAUUAUCUUUAGUCAGCGAAAGACUCUAAUAUUUACCAAGAAAUCAAACAAAUUCAUAGAUUAUAGUACAAUAUAGAUAGUUUGGAUAAUGAACACUAAGAUCCUUGUUGCUGUAAGACUGAAAAUUACAAAAAACCCAUGAAGAAAACACAAAUGACCAAUAAGGAGUUUUAGCCUCUAGGUAAAUUGGUAUAUUGUCUUGUAGAUGGUCUUCCUCCUGUAACAUAGUCUAUCAACCAAACAGUGAGGUUAACUUUAAAAAAUAAAAAAAAUAUUUUGGCAUUGGACAAUUUGACCUUCUGCUUUAAAAAAAAAAAAAAAAAGCCAGUACAAUUUUAGCCAAUUUGUUUGCCAAAAGUGCAUACUGAUAACAGAUUAGUCUGCAUGGUACACAUUUCUGGAACAGCUGUGGCCCAAAGACCAAUGCCAAAUUGACCAGCAAAGGACAAAAGAAGACUUAUAAAAUAUGUGUUAAAUGAGGAAGGACAAACAAAACACCACAUUUCAUAUUGAGGGAAUAAGCAAAGCAAAUAAAAUGUCAUAAUAACUUUUUAAAAUGUCAAUACUUGUCAACAUUUCACGUAAAUAUGCAAACUUUACCUGUGAAAAAUUACUACCUAAUUCAUAGUAAAUUUGGUGUUGUAGAAAGCUUAUAUACCCACAUAGAUGAACGCAUUUUAUAAUAUAUAGUAUGACUAUGACUAUGAGGACUUAAGGAUAUGCGUAAAAGGAAAAUUAACUCCGCAACUAUUUAAGUUACAUCUCUAUUCUCAAAUUGUUUUAGAGUAAGAAUAAAGUACCACCUCUUAUAGUCAAAAUAAUUAGGAUCCAGAUCCACUGCAAAAAGGUGUCAAAAAGAAUGAUGUCAUUCCGUAUGUAUAGAUAUGGAAUAAUUUUCAAGAUAUAGUAAGUGAAAAAAGUAAAAUACAGAAUGAUAUGUAAAGUAUGCUACCAUUUGUGAAGUUAGAACACAGGAUAUGUAUGUUCAUAUAUGCCUGCAUAUGCACAGGAUUUCUAGAAUGUUCCAGUUUCCAGAACAAGAAACUGCCUAGAAGAGGUUGCCUCUGCAGGGUGAAAUCAGGGACUUGAAGGAUUGGAGUAGUGAUUCUCACAUUUGUGUGUAUGUUUGAGUCAACUAGGGAUCUUGAAACAAACAAACAAAAAAAACUAUAUUGAGAUAUGAUUAAAAUACAAAAAGUGGCACAUAUUUAAAGUGUAUGGGGCCGGAGCCGGGCCAGUGGCUCACGCCUGUAAUCCCAGCACUUAGGGAGGCCCAGGCGGGUGGAUCACCCAAGGUCAGGAGUUCAAGACCAGCCUGGCCAACAUGGCAAAACCCUGUCUCUAUUAAAAAUACAAAAAUCAGCCGGGCAUGUUGGUAGGCACCUAUAAACCCAGCUACUCAGGAAGCUGAGGCAGGAGAAUUGCUUGAACCUGAAGGCAGAGGUUGCAGUGAGCCAAGAUCGUGCCACUUCACUCCAGCCUAGACAAAAGGGUGAAACUCCAUCUUAAAAAAAUAAAAAUAAAGUGUAUAGUUUGAUCAGUUUGGGCAUAUGUACGCACCAGUAACACCAUUGCCACAAGCACAAUAACAAAAAUACCUAACACCUACAAAAGCUAGCUUCCUCAAGCUCCUAUGCUCCAUGGUCCCCAUCGCAACAAACCUUUCCAAGGAAACCACUAAUAUAAUUUCUGUUCUUGCAGAUUAGUCCGCAUUUUCUAAACUUUUACAAAGAUGAAAUCUUACCUAAUAUAUUCUUUUUUAUCUGGCUUCUUUCACUCAGCGUAUUUUAAGAUUUAUCAUGUUGGGGCAUACAUUAAUAUUUCUUGCUCUGAGUAUCAUUAUAUUGCAUGGAUGUAUUAUGGUUUAUUCACUUAUUGAUGGAUAUUUGACUUGUUUCCAGUUUUUGAAUGUUAAAAUGAAGCUGCUACACAUAUUCAUGCAUACUUUUUAACAAAUGGACAUAUACUUUUAUUUAUCUUGGAAAGACAUCUAAGGAUGAAAUGACUAAAUUGCAUAUAUGUGCAAUUUUUAAAGAAACUGCCAAACUAUUUGUCAAAGUAGUCAUACAAUUUAGCAUUCCCACCAUCAGUGUAUGAGAAUUCCAGGUCCUCUGUACUCUCACUGACGCCUGAUAUGGUCAACGUUUAAUUUUAGCUAUUGUAAUAUGCAUGUGCUGGUAUUCCAUCAUACUUUUAAUUGUGUUCCCCUAAUGACUACAAUGUUGAACAUCUUUUUCUGUGCUUAUUUGCUUCCAUAUUUCUAGCUGUUAAUAUCUGUUUAUUUAAAAAAUUAGGUUAUUUGUUUUCUGAGUUUUGAGAUUUCUUUUUAUAUUCUGGGCACUGGUGUUUAUAGAAUAUAUGAUUUGCAAAUAUUUUCUUCUAGGCUGUGGCUUGUGUUUUCUCUCUCCUAAACAGUUUCUUUUUAAAAGCAGAGUUUUUAAUUUUGAUGAAGUGCAAUUUAUCCAUUUGUAAUUCUAUGGAUCAUGCUUUUGGUGCCAUAUUUUAAGAUCUUUGCCUAGCCCAAGACCACAAAAGUUUUCUCCUAGUCUUUUUCUGAAAGUGUUAUAGUGUGAGGUUUUAUGUUUGUGUCUAUGAUUCAUCUUGAGUUAAUUUUAUAUAUGAAUGAGUUAUGAAUUGUUUAUUUUUGUGCUUAUGAAUAUCCCAUUAUUCCAACAUUACUUGUUGAGAAGACUGUCCCUUCUCCAUCACAUACAUGUGGGUCUACUCUUGGACUCUUUAUUCUAUUGAUGUGUUUGUGGAACUUGACACCAAAACUAUACUGUCUUGAUUACUGUAGCUGAAUAAAAUUAUUAGAACUUUUGACAUUAGGUAGUAUUAGUACUCUAUCUUUUUUUCAAAGUUGUUUUGGCUAUUCUAGUUCUUUGCAUUUCCAUAUGAAAUUUAAUAUUACUUUGUCAAUCUCUACAAAAAAAGACUCCUGUGAUUUUGGUCAGGAUUAUUUUAGAUCUACAUAUCAAUUUGUGCAUAACUGACAUCUUAAUAUUGCAUCCUUCAAAUCAUGAACCAGUAUAUCCUUCCGUUUCAUUAGGUCUUCUUUAAUUUCUCUCAGCAAUGUUUUUGUAGUUUUAAGUAUAUAUGUCUUGCAUAUCCUUUCCAGAUUUAUCCCUACUUUGUAUUAUAGUAAAUAUUGCUUUUUAACUUCAAUUUCUGAUAUUCAUUUAUAAUAGAUAGAAAUACAAUUUAUUUUGUAUAUUGAUCUUGUAUUCUGUGAACUUGCCAAACACAUUUGUUCUAGUGGGUUUUGGAGAUUUGGGUUUUCUGUAUAGAUAAUCACGAUGCCUGUACACAAAGAUAGUUUUACUUCUGUCUUUUCA
rnacentral:lncRNA from 1 species